CACCUGAUGGCACAUGGUGUGCACUUGCUGCCUGUUCGGAGUUGUAGAGCACUUGUUAUGCAAGAGGUCCUCGUUCGAUUCGAGGUCGGGUGA